rnacentral:rRNA from 1 species
UACGUAGGGUGCGAGCGUUGUCCGGAAUUACUGGGCGUAAAGGGCUCGUAGGCGGCCAACUAAGUCGGAUGUGAAAUCCCCAAGCUUAACUUGGGAACUGCAUCCGAUACUGGAUGGCUUGAAUCCGGGAGAGGGAUGCAGAAUUCCAGGUGUAGCGGUGAAAUGCGUAGAUAUCUGGAGGAAUACCGGUGGCGAAGGCGGCAUCCUGGACCGGCAUUGACGCUGAGGAGCGAAAGCGUGGGGAGCAAACAGG